CGAGCAUGUGCAGCGUUUGAGUCUCAGUACGCCAAGCAUUCCUUCUCGUUGCUACCGCAACAUGGAGACUUGACAG
rnacentral:ribozyme from 1 species